rnacentral:rRNA from 1 species
AAGUGUGUUGUGAAAUGUAGACGCUCAACGUCUGAAUUGCAGCGCAUACUGGUUUCCUUGAGUACGCACAACGUUGGCGGAAUUCGUCGUGUAGCGGUGAAAUGCUUAGAUAUGACGAAGAACUCCGAUUGCGAAGGCAGCUGACGGGAGCGCAACUGACGCUUAAGCUCGAAGGUGCGGGUAUCAAACAGGAUUAGAUACCCUGGUAGUCCGCACAGUAAACGAUGGAUGCCCGCUGUUGGUACCUGGUAUCAGCGGCUAAGCGAAAGCAUUAAGCAUCCCACCUGGGGAGUACGCCGGCAACGGUGAAACUCAAAGGAAUUGACGGGGGCCCGCACAAGCGGAGGAACAUGUGGUUUAAUUCGAUGAUACGCGAGGAACCUUACCCGGGCUUGAAUUGCAGAGAAAGGAUUUAGAGAUAAUGACGCCCUUCGGGGUCUCUGUGAAGGUGCUGCAUGGUUGUCGUCAGCUCGUGUCGUGAG